rnacentral:rRNA from 1 species
AAUGAACGUUGGCGGUGCGCUUAACACAUGCAAGUCGAGCGAGAAAGGUCUUCGGACUAAGUACAGCGGCAGACGGGUGAGUAACGCGUGGGAAUCUGCCCUUCAGUGAGGAAUACCUCUGAGAAAUCGGAGUUAAUACUGCAUACGUCCCUACGGGGAGAAAGAUGGCCUCUUUGCUGUCGCUGAAGGAUGAGCCUGCGUACUAUUAGCUAGUUGGUAGGGUAAUGGCCUACCAAGGCGAUGAUGGUUAGCCGGCCUGAGAGGGUGAUCGGCCACAGUGGAACUGAGACACGGUCCAGACUCCUACGGGAGGCAGCAGUGAGGAAUAUUGCGCAAUGGGCGAAAGCCUGACUCAGCGACACCGCGUGAAGGAUGAAGGUUUUAGGAUUGUAAACUUCUGUUAAGUGGGAAGAAAGAUUUAGGCUUAAUACGCCUAGAGAAUGACGGUACCACUAGAGAAAGCACCGGCUAACUUCGUGCCAGCCGCCGCGGUAA